AAAACUUAAGAAAGAAUUAUAAUUCUAUUAAUUU
rnacentral:tRNA from 2 species